rnacentral:rRNA from 1 species
AGGAAGCCCCGGCUAACUACGUGCCAGCAGCCGCGGUAAGACGUAGGGGGCCAGCGUUGUUCGGAAUUACUGGGUGUAAAGGGUUCGUAGGCGGUGUGGCAAGUUGGGAGUGAAAUCUCUGGGCUCAACCCAGAGGCUGCUUCCAAAACUGCCAUGCUUGAGUGUGGGAGAGGCGCGUGGAAUUGCAGGUGUAGCGGUGAAAUGCGUAGAUAUCUGCAGGAACACCCGUGGCGAAAGCGGCGCGCUGGACCACUACUGACGCUGAGGAACGAAAGCUAGGGGAGCAAACAGGAUUAGAUACCCUGGUAGUCCUAGCCCUAAACGAUCAGGACUUGGGGUGCCGCCCGUUCGGGCGUCGUCCCGGAGCUAACGCGUUAAGUCCUGCACCUGGGGAGUACGGUCGCAAGACUGAAACUCAAAGGAAUUGACG